UUAUGCAGGGCCAAUGCACAUGUUGGAAUCUAUGUGAAGUGAAGCUUCCGUGAAGCAGUUAAUGAAAUGCAGUGAAAUUUGCCAAUUUCA
rnacentral:lncRNA from 1 species